UGGGGAAUAUUGGACAAUGGGCGAAAGCCUGAUCCAGCCAUGCCGCGUGUGUGAAGAAGGUCUUCGGAUUGAAAAGCACUUUAAGUUGGGAGGAAGGGCAUUAACCUAAUACGUUAGUGUUUUGACGUUACCGACAGAAUAAGCACCGGCUAACUCUGUGCCAGCAGCCGCGGUAAUACAGAGGGUGCAAGCGUUAAUCGGAAUUACUGGGCGUAAAGCGCGCGUAGGUGGUUUGUUAAGUUGGAUGUGAAAGCCCCGGGCUCAACCUGGGAACUGCAUCCAAAACUGGCAAGCUAGAGUACGGUAGAGGGUGGUGGAAUUUCCUGUGUAGCGGUGAAAUGCGUAGAUAUAGGAAGGAACACCAGUGGCGAAGGCGACCACCUGGACUGAUACUGACACUGAGGUGCGAAAGCGUGGGGAGCAAACA
rnacentral:rRNA from 1 species